rnacentral:rRNA from 1 species
UACAGAUGGGGCAAGCGUUGUUCGGAAUUACUGGGCGUAAAGGGCGCGUAGGCGGCCCGCUAAGUCGAACGUGAAAUCCCUGGGCUCAACCCAGGAACUGCGUCCGAUACUGGUGGGCUUGAAUCCGGGAGAGGGAUGUGGAAUUCCAGGUGUAGCGGUGAAAUGCGUAGAUAUCUGGAGGAACACCGGUGGCGAAGGCGACAUCCUGGACCGGUAUUGACGCUGAGGCGCGAAAGCCAGGGGAGCAAACGGG